UCUUGGGUUCGUUGACCCAUAUACCGUGAAUGGGUAUACUGUCGACAACUCUCCCAAGGACACGGAGAAUAACUUGGUACAUGUCUUAAGGAAAAACUCAUACAAAAGGGCAAUACUAUUUCCUUACAACUUCGCGUUUCACUAUAUCCUGCUAGUCAUUGAACCCGACACCGGGAUAGUAGAAGUCAUGGACUCGAAGAGUAAACCCCUUGAGGCGUGGGGGGACAUGGCUGAUAUCCUCCACAAGGCUUGGAAACGGUUCACCAACAAAGCUCCGGGUUUAAAGAAUAAAGAACUUCGAAUAAAACAUGUACCGUGCUUGAGGCAAGAGGACGGGAAUAAUUUAUGCGGGUUCUACGUUUGCGAGUUCAUCCGCC